rnacentral:rRNA from 1 species
UACGGAGGGGACUAGCGUUGUUCGGAAUACUGGGCGUAAAGCGCACGUAGGCGGAUUUGUAAGUCAGGGGUGAAAUCCCGGGGCUCAACCUCGGAACUGCCUUUGAUACUGCAAAUCUCGAGUCCGGAAGAGGUAAGUGGAAUUCCGAGUGUAGAGGUGAAAUUCGUAGAUAUUCGGAAGAACACCAGUGGCGAAGGCGACUUACUGGACACAUAUUGACGCUGAGGUGCGAAAGCGUGGGGAGCAAACAGGAU